UGCAGUCGUGUUAUCAACUAGGAGUUUCACAUGUUUAUUCUGAACUACGCUUAAGAAAGAUUUUAAGGCAAGGAAAACAACAAACAUUUCCAAGUAGUUAAUGUCGUGCUGUGCUUUGUCAGGGGACCAAUUCCCUCCAGAAGUGACUGUAGCAAUACAGCACCCCAUCCAAUCAGGGAAGCAUCUGUUGUCAUAGUAACCUGUGGGUCUCCAUGGUUGAUUAGGUUAUAUGCUGUGGGCAGGGUAGUGACUCACCAUUUAAGGUCAAUUAUGACUUCUUUGGAUGAGCCCAUGGUCUUAUCAAAAUUCCCUUUGUGUAAUUUUAAAGCAUGUGUUUUGUCCAUUUCAAGAAACUUAUGGUGUAGUGGGCCAUACAUCACCCCUGGAAAACUAGCAUUUAUAAGCCCCAAUACUUGAGCCACCAUCUUAAUAGAAGGUGACAAGGUAGCUAGCAGAUUUUCACAAGCAUGUCUUCAUUUUAGAAUUCUUUCUGAAGUCAGUUGUCUCAGACUUGAGAAAACUGGCUUUUGCAGCUUUGUAAACUUCGAGGACAAAGGGCUAAUCCGUUGGGGGAAACAAACAAAUUGAUAUAAGACUCCUUUCCAUUCAAACUUAAGGAAUUAAUUUUUUGAUGAUCCUUACAUAUUGGCACUGAGUAAUAUGCAUCUUUUAGAUCUAUGGAUGCCAUGUAGCACCCUGGCUUCACUAGCCGGAUUGCAGACCAGAUGUUGUCCAUUUUAAAAUGGUGCUCAAACAGAAGUUUGUUUGUGGCACGGCGUACUUGUUUCCAAAUGCAGGUUUGUUCGUCCUGAGACCGACUGAGGAACACAGAAGCCUUACAUUACCAAUAAAAUUUUGAAAAUGCAAUACCAACAGUGUGCUUUUUGCUUGAGAUUGUUAACUGCAUGAAAGAUGCAUACAAGAUGCGCGUGUUGACAAUGCCCCGCUAUGAUUUUCAUAACCAGUGCGACGACUCGCAAACAGUUUCAUCACUAAUAAUUAUUAUAAAUGGCCUUGGAAUCUAGUGGAAAGGUUGUGGCAGAAUUGCGAAGAAAACUUAAGAAACCCACCGCUGCAAGCUGCUCCUGCAGCAAACAAUUUCCUGGACGUCCUGCACCACCACCACUCUGCAAGGCUUUUGAAACUUUUAACACCAGAUGCAUUUUCAACUGUCGUUUUGUAUAGUAUUUCCAGGCAUGUGUCAACUUCCUCAUUUCUCUUAUCAAGAAGUAAGCUUACACAGGUCUCAGUUUCAGAAAACAAGUUACGAAGACAAUUGGAAGUUCUUGUUGCCAUGGUGGCGGAGGGUUUCCCAGACUUGCUUCUUUAUUGUUUAAAACAACAGUUAGUUUCUACCCUUUAUUCCAAACCACAAGAUGAAAUUAUAUCUCCUAAUUAUCACUUCAAGGAAAAACUUUUGACUCCAGCAAAAUGCAGAAAAUGGGUUCAUUUAAUUGACAAUUUAAACAUGCCCAAGAUCAACAAGAAAAUGCUGAGCUGGUCGACUUUAUUAUUUCACACAAGGAUGGAGAGUUUUUUAAGAGCACACUCAUAUGCAUGCCAGUCAUUUUUAAGAAGAAUUUCAAUCAUUUUUUCCAGUUUGCUGCCUAACUAGUUAGUAAUUUUAACAUUGGCUACACUAAAAAUAUCAAAACAUAGUCUGAAAUCAGCUUGGUAAAGAACUAGAACAUGUUUUUGGAAUCAAUAUCAUGGUACCAAAAGAUGAUGUGUGUGAAAAGCUCAAGGUAAAAAAGGAGGCUCUGCAAGGAAGUUUGUCACUGACUUUUACUGAACGCAAUGGUGUUGUUGCAGCAUACCGUACACAAAUGUUAAAAACACUGUGGAAUGGCUACUUAGCGAAAAAACUCUACAGGAAACAAUAAUGGUCCCUAAAGAAAAAUUACUUGUUUAUCACUACAUUGAUGCGUUCCCAUGGAUGCAGUGGAGUAAGUGCUUUACUGGAGAAACAGCAAUAAGAGUAAAAUUAGUGGAGCCUCACAACUUGUUAAGCUCCAUUGUUACAGUGUGUUCUUGGUUAGGCCAGAUAACUACAACCACGUAAGUAAUCUUGGACGAGAAACCCUUCAACAGCUGUCCAGUUUGAAGUCAGUUUAUCACCCAAUUCUUAAGAAGAACAUAGAAGUCAUUGUGCGUGGUGUUGCAGAUGGCUGUCAGCAAAGAACAAUUACUGGAAGUUCUUCUGCCAGCUCCUGUUAUCCAAUUUCUGAGUCACCAGAACACCAAAAGCAACUUGGAGAUAUGAGAAUCAUCUGUAAUGAGCCUGUGUGGAAAGUAGAAAUGACUGAGAAAGGAGAAGAGCAGUACAAGAAAUGGUUGGGAAAACGAGAAUAUGCAAAGAAGCACCUUGGUCACACUGGACAUCCUAAUGCUUCUCAACUUGACCUAGCAAAUUUCUACCCUGCAAUGAUGCACCAAGCUACAAGAGCUACAGAAACUAUUGAACGAAGAAUUGGCCAAGUAGCUGAUUCUC